UACGGGGGGGGCAAGCGUUGUUCGGAAUUACUGGGCGUAAAGGGCUCGUAGGCGGCCAACUAAGUCAGACGUGAAAUCCCUCGGCUUAACCGGGGAACUGCGUCUGAUACUGGAUGGCUAGAGGUUGGGAGAGGGAUGCGGAAUUCCAGGUGUAGCGGUGAAAUUCGUAGAUAUGGGGAGGAACACCGGUGGCGAAGGCGGCCACCUGGACGGUAACUGACGCUGAGACGCGAAAGCGUGGGGAGCAAACAGG
rnacentral:rRNA from 1 species